UACAGAGGGGGCGAGCGUUAUUCGGAAUUAUUGGGCGUAAAGGGCGCGUAGGCGGCCUUUCAAGUGACGGGUGAAAUCCCUCGGCUCAACCGAGGAACUGCAUCCGAUACUGGCGGGCUUGAAUCCGGGAGAGGGAUGUGGAAUUCCAGGUGUAGCGGUGAAAUGCGUAGAUAUCUGGAGGAACACCGGUGGCGAAGGCGGCAUCCUGGACCGGUAUUGACGCUGAGGCGCGAAAGCUAGGGGAGCAAACGGG
rnacentral:rRNA from 1 species